rnacentral:lncRNA from 1 species
UGCAUUUAUAAUGAAAAGCUGAAGUGAAAACACCUAUAAAACAAUCUGAUACUACAGUUUAUUCACUGAAUUCUCAGACAGUGUGUGAAUUCUGCUUCUCCUUUUAAUCUAUUCAGCACCUUCUAAAAACCUGUAACUGACCCAAACCCAGUGUGUGACACAUUACAAUACUGACUGGAACAGCUGUGAUAUUUGUAAUCUAGACUAAUCUAAUCUCUUUUAAGGGGGUUGAAUAGUUUUGAAAGGCACUGGGUGUAAAGAACUCUGCUUCUCUCCUGAUCUUCAUUCCUCUGUUCUUAUAACUAAUGUAGGAGGAGUCUUUACAUGCUUGAAAAGUAGCUCCCAGAUCUCUCCUCAUUAUCUGAACACUGGAGUCACCAUGAUGUCCCUGUGCUCUCUGACUGUGUUUAUCAUCGUACUUGGGAACUGUUCUGCACAGUCAAUAGAUCCAGUGAAUGAAACACAGCUUCACGCUUUUAAAGAUGAGACUGUUACUAUCUCCUACAAGUAUGAUAAAGCAAGCUAUCUGUUCUGGUAUCGUCAGUAUCCUGGAUCCAGACCAGAAUAUUUACUGACGAUAUAUCCAAAAGAAAGAGCUAAAAGUGACCCAAACCCUUUAUUUCCACAAUUCAGUUCUACAGUGGAUUUCAGUGAAUCAAGAGUGAAUCUGAUCAUCUCCUCUACUGCAGUAUCAGACUCUGCUCUCUACUACUGCGCUCUGAGGCCCACAGUAACAGCAACCCACCAAACACUGUACUAAAACCUUUCUUGUAAAAUAUGUAGAAACACUAGUAUUUCAGGAGGGGGCGCUGUUUCUCUUCUGCUUUCUCGCCAUUCAGGUUAUAACAUAAUUUUGCUUCGGGAUGUCAGUCAUCAGUUAUAGUCAGGAACAAGUGAAAAUUAAAGCUGGCACUACCAACACAGGAGUCUCUGAUUUGUAUGAACAGAUGCAGAAUAUUAGCUAAAUAAGACUCACACCUGUUCACACCUGGUAUAAACUUGCAUCCUGAGAGAUCUGAUCAGAAACGACCAAUUAGCUAGUAAGGCGUUGCAGUAAAUUUGAUAGUAUGCAAACAGUACAUUUAAUCACAACACCUAUAAAAUAC